AAGGAGUCUAACAUAUCUGCGAGUAUUUGGGUGUCAAACCCGAGUGCGCUAUGAAAGUGAACGUAGGAGCCACGCGCAAGCUGCAGCUUCGACCGAUCUGGAUCUUUUGUGAUGGAUUUGAGUAAGAGCAUAUAUGUUGGGACCCGAAAGAUGGUGAACUAUGCCUGAAUAGGGCGAAGCCAGAGGAAACUCUGAUGGAGGCUCGUAGCGAUUCUGACGUGCAAAUCGAUCGUCAAAUUUGGAUAUAGGGGCGAAAGACUAAUCGAACCAUCUAGUAGCUGUUUCCUGC
rnacentral:misc_RNA from 1 species